rnacentral:rRNA from 1 species
CGCUAGCUACAGGCUUAACACAUGCAAGUCGAGGGGCAUCAUGGUCUUAGCUUGCUAAGGCCGAUGGCGACCGGCGCACGGGUGAGUAACACGUAUCCAACCUGCCGUCUACUCUUGGACAGCCUUCUGAAAGGAAGAUUAAUACUAGAUGGCAUCAUGAGUCCGCAUGUUCACAUGAUUAAAGGUAUUCCGGUAGACGAUGGUGAUGCGUUCCAUUAGAUAGUAGGCGGGGUAACGGCCCACCUAGUCUUCGAUGGAUAGGGGUUCUGAGGGGAAGGUCCCCCACAUUGGAACUGAGACACGGUCCAAACUCCUACGGGAGGCAGCAGUGAGGAAUAUUGGUCAGUGGGCGAGAGCCUGAACCAAGCAAGUAUGCGUGAAGGAUGACUGUCCUAUGGGUUGUGAACUUCUUUUAUAAAGGAAUAGAGUCGGGUAUGGAUACUCGUUUGAAUGUACCUUAUGAAUCACGAUGGGCUAACUCCGUGCCAGCAGCCGCGGUUAUACGGAGGAUCCGAGCGUUAUCCGGAUUUAUUGGGUUUAAAGGGAGCGUAGAUGGAUGUUUUAGUCAGUUGUGAAAGUUUGCGGCUCAACCGUAAAAAUUGCAGUUGAUACUGGAUAUCUUGAGUGCAGGUGAGGCAGGCGGAAUUCGUGGUGUAGCGGUGAAAUGCUUAGAUAUCACGAAGAACUCCGAUUGCGAAGGCAGCCUGCUAAGCUGCAACUGACAUUGAGGCUCGAAAGUGUGGGUAUCAAACAGGAUUAGAUACCCUGGUAGUCCACACGGUAAACGAUGAAUACUCGCUGUUUGCGAUAUACUGCAAGCGGCCAAGCGAAAGCGUUAAGUAUUCCACCUGGGGAGUACGCCGGCAACGGUGAAACUCAAAGGAAUUGACGGGGGCCGCACAAGCGGAGGAACAUGUGGUUUAAUUCGAUGAUACGCGAGGAACCUUACCCGGGCUUAAAUUGCAGAUGAAUUACGGUGAAAGCCGUAAGCCGCAAGGCAUCUGUGAAGGUGCUGCAUGGUUGUCGUCAGCUCGUGCCGUGAGGUGUCGGCUUAAGUGCCAUAACGAGCGCAACCCUUGUUGUCAGUUACUAACAGGUUCCGCUGAGGACUCUGACAAGACUGCCAUCGUAAGAUGUGAGGAAGGUGGGGAUGACGUCAAAUCAGCACGGCCCUUACGUCCGGGGCUACACACGUGUUACAAUGGGGGGUACAGAGGGUCGCUACCACGCGAGUGGAUGCCAAUCCCCAAAACCUCUCUCAGUUCGGACUGGAGUCUGCAACCCGACUCCACGAAGCUGGAUUCGCUAGUAAUCGCGCAUCAGCCACGGCGCGGUGAAUACGUUCCCGGGCCUUGUACACACCGCCCGUCAAGCCAUGGGAGCCGGGGGUACCUGAAGUGCGUAACCGCGAGGAGCGCCCUAGGGUAAAACUGGUGACUGGGG